rnacentral:rRNA from 1 species
UACAGAGGGUGCAAGCGUUGUCCGGAAUUAUUGGGCGUAAAGGGCUCGUAGGCGGUUUGUCGCGUCGGGAGUGAAAACUCAGGGCUUAACCCUGAGCCUGCUUCCGAUACGGGCAGACUAGAGGUAUGCAGGGGAGAACGGAAUUCCUGGUGUAGCGGUGAAAUGCGCAGAUAUCAGGAGGAACACCGGUGGCGAAGGCGGGUCUCUGGGCAGUAACUGACGCUGAGGAGCGAAAGCGUGGGGAGCGAACAGG